GUGCCAGACUCCUACGGGAGGCAGCAGUGGGGAAUAUUGCACAAUGGGGGAAACCCUGAUGCAGCGACGCCGCGUGAGUGAAGAAGUAAUUCGUUAUGUAAAGCUCUAUCAGCAGGGAAGAAAAUGACGGUACCUGAGUAAGAAGCCCCGGCUAACUACGUGCCAGCAGCCGCGGUAAUACGUAGGGGGCAAGCGUUAUCCGGAUUUACUGGGUGUAAAGGGAGCGUAGACGGACUUGCAAGUCUGAUGUGAAAAUCCGGGGCCCAACCCCGGAACUGCAUUGGAAACUGUAUAUCUAGAGUGUCGGAGAGGCAAGUGGAAUUCCUGGUGUAGCGGUGAAAUGCGUAGAUAUCAGGAGGAACACCAGUGGCGAAGGCGGCCUGCUGGACGAUGACUGACGUUGAGGCUCGAAAGCGUGGGGAGCAAACAGGAUUAGAUACCCUGGUAAA
rnacentral:rRNA from 1 species